rnacentral:rRNA from 1 species
ACGGAAGGCAGCAGUGGGGAAUAUUGCACAAUGGGGGAAACCCUGAUGCAGCAACGCCGCGUGAGCGAAGAAGUAUUUCGGUAUGUAAAGCUCUAUCAGCAGGAAAGAAAAUGACGGUACCUGACUAAGAAGCACCGGCUAAAUACGUGCCAGCAGCCGCGGUAAUACGUAUGGUGCAAGCGUUAUCCGGAUUUACUGGGUGUAAAGGGAGCGUAGGCGGUAUGCUAAGUCUGAUGUGAAAAUCCGGGGCUCAACCCCGGAACUGCAUUGGAAACUGGUAAACUGGAGUGUCGGAGAGGUAAGCGGAAUUCCUAGUGUAGCGGUGAAAUGCGUAGAUAUUAGGAGGAACACCAGUGGCGAAGGCGGCUUACUGGACGAUCACUGACGCUGAGGCUCGAAAGCGUGGGGAGCAAACAGGAUUAGAUACCCUGGUA